GCACACAGACUUCUUGGACGUGUCUUGGACAAUCUGUGGUUGUACAGGCCUAUUCUUGGCUAUUUGGCUGAUAUAUUUGUCUUGUUAUCUGUUUUCAUGGACUCAAUCAUGAAACCAUUAGCACCACAACUACGAGACAUCAGUGUGAUAAGAGGACAGGCCAUAACUUUCAGGUGGGACGCAAACUGUAAA